UGUACCUGAGUGGAGUGAUUUGUGUGCUUGUGAAUUUCCUGCAUCUGAAGUUUUAUAAGAGAGCUAUCUCUCGUGCUCUGUUACUGUGGUGUCAUCUUAGAAGAGUCAGGAGGCAAACCCAACUGAUGCCUUAGCUCCUAAUUAUAUUUUCUUUAAGAUGCACUGAAGACAUCUGCAUGGAUGAUAUUUGAGAACAUGAAGACUUUGGAAGGAUGUGGCAGCUGGUUGGUGACCAUUGACCUCUGUUUCUUCACUCUUUUGGCAGCUCAGCUUCCAAUGCCCAGUGGUCUGGUUCUAGGUCCGGUGAGAAGUUCGUGGAGUUUCUCAGUUACCGGCAGGUGCGAGAGCUAGGCAGCACAACCGGACCUCGAGCGGCCUCGAGCUUUGGUGAGAGCGGCCUUAUUGUGGCGGAGGCGGAAGCAGGAAGUCCUGGGCCGCUCUAAUGCCCAGGCGGGACCCCGCAGUGCCCCGGUCUGGCUUGGACCUUAGCAUUGGGAAGCUGAAUCGUCACUGUCCUCUACUCUCCCGAGACCCACUGAAAAUGAACAUAUCUGAGGUUAUUGUUUUACAAAACCAGAUGUAAUUGUCAAGUUGAAGCAAGGAAAAGAUCCAUUUUUAUUAAAGGAGGAGUCUAUAAACAAGACU